rnacentral:rRNA from 1 species
AUUGAACGCUGGCGGCAGGCCUAACACAUGCAAGUCGAGCGAGCGGCGGACGGGUGAGUAAUGUAUGGGGAACUGCCCGAUAGAGGGGGAUAACUACUGGAAACGGUGGCUAAUACCGCAUACUGUCGGAUGAGCCCAGAUGGGAUUAGCUAGUAGGUGAGGUAAUGGCUCACCUAGGCGACGAUCCCUAGCUGGUCUGAGAGGAUGACCAGCCACACUGGAACUGAGACACGGCCCAGACUCCUACGGGAGGCAGCAGUGGGGAAUAUUGCACAAUGGGCGCAAGCCUGAUGCAGCCAUGCCGCGUGUAUGAAGAAGGCCUUCGGGUUGUAAAGUACUUUCAGCGGGGAGGCGUUACCCGCAGAAGAAGCACCGGCUAACUCCGUGCCAGCAGCCGCGGUAAUUC